CCUANGGGCGGCAGCAGUGGGGAAUAUUGGACAAUGGGCGCAAGCCUGAUCCAGCCAUGCCGCGUGAGUGACGAAGGCCUUAGGGUUGUAAAGCUCUUUUGGCGGGGACGAUAAUGACGGUACCCGCAGAAUAAGCCCCGGCUAACUUCGUGCCAGCAGCCGCGGUAAUACGAAGGGGGCUAGCGUUGUUCGGAAUCACUGGGCGUAAAGCGCACGUAGGCGGACUUUCAAGUCAGGGGUGAAAUCCCGGGGCUCAACCUCGGAACUGCCCUUGAUACUGUUGGUCUCGAGUCCGGAAGAGGUGGGUGGAAUUCCUAGUGUAGAGGUGAAAUUCGUAGAUAUUAGGAAGAACACCGGUGGCGAAGGCGGCCCACUGGUCCGGUACUGACGCUGAGGUGCGAAAGCGUGGGGAGCAAACAGGAUUAGAUACCCCGNUANUC
rnacentral:rRNA from 1 species